UUUACACCCAACAUGGGACUCAAACUCACAACCCUGAGAUCAAGAGUCACAGGUGGCCCCGGCUGAGUGAGUCAGGCACCUCAGGCUUGUUUCUAUCUAAAAGGUGUGUCAGAAGGAAAAGAUGAAUACGAGCCUCUUGGAGCUAUUGCCGCUACCUGAAGCAAGAUCCUAUGGAGACUACUGCCCAGUGGCUACACAGCACGGUGGUUUAGAACCAUUGUUGGAUGCUGGAGCCAGUGGGGUGGCUUCCAACAACAGCUGGACCUUACUGACCAGACGAGUGUCGUUGGG